ACAACCGUGAUUCCGUGAGUAGUGGCGAGCGAAAGCGGAUCUAGCCUAAACCUUGCGUGUGUGAUACCUGUCAGGGGUUGCGCGUGGGGGGUUGUGGGAUUUCUUGUGGAAGAUCUGACAGUCUUCCGAGGAGUUACAAAGUUUGAUGCUAGUCGAACGGCGUGGGAAAGCCGACCGUAGAGGGUGAGAGUCCCGUAGACGAAAGUGUCAUGCCUCCUUAUAGAUUCUCCCGAGUAGCAGCGGACUCCUAGAAUCUGCUGUGAAUCUGCCAGGACCACCUGGUAAGGCUGAAUACUUCCUGGUGACCGAUAGCGGACAAGUACCGU
rnacentral:ncRNA from 1 species